AGCUGGGUCCUGCGCACCGGAGGGUUACAAACCCCGUCAGGUCCGGGAGGAAGCAGCGGUAGUAACCUUAUCCGGCGUCGCAGUAAACCUAGCUAUC
rnacentral:SRP_RNA from 1 species